UUAUGGCCCGAAUUCACAAAGGUGGACUAAAGUUAUACCCGGGGUAUAAAACGCGUCAUUUGACGUCAUUUUAAUCCAUGGACUAAAGUUAGUACCUAGGUACUAACUUUUGCGAUUCACAAAGGUGGACUAAAGUUAUACCGGGGUAUAAAACGCGUCAUUUGACGUCACGAUUUAGUCAGCUCUUUGGGGUGGACUAAAUCGGUGGAUUAAAGUUAGUCCACGGUUUUAACCAAUCAGAGAGCAGCAUUGCGGUUGCAGAAAAGUUUGCUGCAAAAAAAGUUUUUUGGACGGAGACGAGAUUCGGUGUGAUCGGCUUAUCUAAAGCUUAAAAUUUCACGACUUCGACCGAGAUUAAACAGACCAUACUCGGCAGAUUGUGAGAUUGUGAUCAAUCAAGACGACAAACAUGGCUCACAUUUUUGAACUGCUGUGCCUUCUUGCAACAGAGUGAGAUUCAGCAACACAUAGGAAGACCACAGCAUGGAUUAAGAGACAGGAAGAAUCCAUUUGAAUGCUACAAGGAUGAACCUUUCAGAGUGGGCUACCAACAGAGAGAAACGACACAUUGCCUGACAUGUUACAUGUUUUGACAGGACUUUGUUUUUAUGCCAUUGGUACCUUUUAGAAGAUGCAAGCAGACAAAGCAACUAUAUCAUAGUCAUCCGUGUGCAGAAUCAUCAAAGAUUUUUCUGAGGCAAUGGCAAGGAGUAACAGUUAAUGAAGUGUCCGAUGACGAGAAAUUCAAACCACCCAGCGACAAUUUGAUGAUUGCUACAGGUUUCCAAGAGUCGCAGGUGCUAUCGAUUGGGGCCAUGUCUACAUCAGGAGUCCUGAUGGGGAACAAGCCCUGUACUUAGCAGGAAGAACAGGUCUUCUGUAAAUGUAUAGGUAUCCGUUGCUCCUCUCUUUGAUGAAUUCCUGCCUGCAUUCUGUUGUCAAUAGAAAAGGACCAUGUGCUUCGGGUAUUAAGCAUUCCAUUGGAUUAUCUGUGUAUGAAAGUGGACACUUGUGAUCACAAAAUGGUAGCUUAGUUGAUAGGAUGUAUUCAUGCAUUCCGAUUUAUCAUUAGUGAUCAAAUGACCAUCUUGCUUUUAAAAACCCAAAUUCACAACAUUUUUCUUGUUUGACAAAAGGUUUGGGAUGUGAAUUCCAGGAAAUAAAUGACACACACGAUGGGCUAAUGUAUAAGCAGGGAUGUGAGAGGUAUAAGCAACAUUUUGCUCAUGCUUAACUAAGUUUGGCAUGAGAUGGUCUUGGUCAUUCUUAUGAUUCAAGUCUAUUUUUAUACCAUUU
rnacentral:lncRNA from 1 species